CUUCCCUCCCCCUCGGAGCUGCUCGGGGCGCAGCUCGCACGCUGGCAGGCUGUGCCAGCCAGGCACUGUGCACUCCUACAAGUGCCACCUGCUCUGCUGGAAGCCUUGCUGUGCUGAACUCGCCAGCAUCUUUGUGCCUGAUCUGCAGGGCAGCUCCUCACAUCGGGCUUGGCUGCUCGCCCAUGACAAGAAGAGUUUGCAGAGCCUUUUGGCUCAGGAGCACUUGGCAACCUUCAGAAUGCAUUCCGCUGGGCAGCGGGCACACACACAUCCUGGGGUGAUGCCAUGUGCUGCACCCCAGAGUGCUGCUGUGUGCCCCAUCUCAGGCUCCUGCUGUGUGCCCUAUCCCAUGGUGCUGCUGUGUGUCCCAUCCCAGGUUCUGCUGUGUUCCCCAUCCUGAGAUUUUGCUGUGUGCCCCAUCCCUGGGUUCUGCUGUGUUUCCCCAUCCCAUGGUGCUGCUGUGUGCCCAAUCCCAGGUUCUGCUGUGCUCCCCAUUCCAGGGUUCUGUUGUGUGCCCCAUCCCGUGGUGCUGCUGUGUUUCCCCAUCCCGAGGUUCUUCUGUGUUCCCCAUCCUGAGAUUUUGCUGUGUGCCUCAUUUCUGCAUUCUGCUGUGUUCUCAGGGUGCGGCUGUGUGCCCCAUAUCGGGAUUCUGCUGUGUGCCCCAUCUCAGGAUUCUGCUGUGUUCCCCAUCCCAGGUUCUGCUGUGUUCCUCAUCCCUGGGUUCUGCUCUGUUCCCCAUCUCGGGAUUCUGCUGUGUGCCCCAUCCCAAGUUGUGCUGUGUUCCCCAUCCUGGAUUCUGUUGUGUGCCCCAUCCCAAGUUGUGCUGUGUGCCCCAUCCUGAGAUUUCACUGUGUGCCCAUCCCAGGGUUCUGCUGUGUGCCCCAUCCUGAGAUUUCACUGUGUGCCCCAUCCCUGGGUGCUGCUGUGCCCCCCAUCCCGUGGCACUCGCUGUGCAGCUGGCACAGCUUGCAGCCAUCAGGCAGCUGGAGCAAUCACCACAGAAGGUUUAGCGGGAGAACACAUCACAGCCAAAGUCGAAGGCUGAAUUGAGAUAUCAGUGGGGGAGGUGGCUAUUAUAUUCCAGCUCUCUUAAAAACCAUUCUGAGACUUGUAAGGCAUUGUGUUGUGCUUGCUGCUGGAUUUAAGACUGCUGACUGUCAGGCAGUGAAGGUCACUUUGUGCUUUCCUCUUUAAGGCAAGCUGCUGUUUAUAUUACCAAGAGACCAGCAGCGCUGACUAACUCUUGGCAUGUUAACCUGGGAAGCGUGUUCUCUCCUCGGGAAAAGGUCUCCCAUGCACUCCCUCAGGACCUGAACAGCUGAGAGUUUUGUGUCAUGUAGGUGUCAAGCCCAAUCAGAGCUUCCUUGUCAGGAUGUGUUAGGGCAGCUGCCUGCAAUUUGUGUGACAGUGCACAUCUCUGCCAAUAAACUACUUUUUGCUCUCCCUUCUGCUGUGUCUGCCGUCUGCAGGGCUGUUGGAAUGCUGCCAGGGAGGGAGAGCAAUGCAUGCACAGAGGUGUCUGGGUGGCACCUCUUGUAAUCUGUGCUCUGCACCGUGUAUUGAUUGGCUUUGUGGAUGGAUCCCACGGGCUGAACACCAACAUCACGUACCAGAGCAUGACAUUUUAAUCAGAGACACGUUUAACUACUGGGAGCAGC
ensembl:lncRNA